UGGGGANUCUUCCGCAAUGGACGAAAGUCUGACGGAGCAACGCCGCGUGAGUGAUGACGGCCUUCGGGUUGUAAAGCUCUGUUAAUCGGGACGAAAGGUCCUCUUGCGAAUAGUUAGAGGAAUUGACGGUACCGGAAUAGAAAGCCACGGCUAACUACGUGCCAGCAGCCGCGGUAAUACGUAGGUGGCAAGCGUUGUCCGGAAUUAUUGGGCGUAAAGCGCGCGCAGGCGGAUCAGUCAGUCUGUCUUAAAAGUUCGGGGCUUAACCCCGUGAUGGGAUGGAAACUGCUGAUCUAGAGUAUCGGAGAGGAAAGUGGAAUUCCUAGUGUAGCGGUGAAAUGCGUAGAUAUUAGGAAGAACACCAGUGGCGAAGGCGACUUUCUGGACGAAAACUGACGCUGAGGCGCGAAAGCCAGGGGAGCGAACGGGAUUAGAUACCCCGGUAGUCCUGGCCGUAAACGAUGGGUACUAGGUGUAGGAGGUAUCGACCCCUUCUGUGCCGGAGUUAACGCAAUAAGUACCCCGCCUGGGGAGUACGACCGCAAGGUUG
rnacentral:rRNA from 1 species